CGUAGUCGAGGUGGNGACGGGUGAGUAACGCGUGGGUAACCUGCCUUACACAGGGGGAUAACACCUGGAAACAGGUGCUAAUACCGCAUAAGCGCACAGGGCCGCAUGGCCCGGUGUGAAAAACUCCGGUGGUGUAAGAUGGACCCGCGUCUGAUUAGCUUGUUGGCGGGGUAGGGGCCCACCAAGGCGACGAUCAGUAGCCGGCCUGAGAGGGUGGACGGCCACAUUGGGACUGAGACACGGCCCAAACUCCUACGGGAGGCAGCAG
rnacentral:rRNA from 1 species